CUUGUUUCUUGGCCUUUUGGCUAAGUUCAUGUGCAGUAUCUGUUCUUAUCAGUUUAAUAUCUGACUUCAAACAUAGAUAUUCAAAAAGUCAUGGUGGAAGGAUUUUACCAUACUCAUCAUGCCUGGAAUGUCCCGAUUCCCACAAAAC
rnacentral:snRNA from 1 species